rnacentral:rRNA from 1 species
AUUGAACGCUGGCGGCAGGCCUAACACAUGCAAGUCGAACGAGUGGCGGACGGGUGAGUAAUGUAUGGGAAACUGCCUGAUGGAGGGGGAUAACUACUGGAAAAGGUAGCUAAUACCGCAUAACAUCAGAUGUGCCAAGAUGGGAUUAGCUAGUUGGUGGGGUAACGGGUCACAAGGGCGACGAUCCAUAGCUGGUCUGAGAGGAUGACCAGACACACUGGAACUGGGACAAGGUCCAGACUCCUACGGGAGGCAGCAGUGGGGAAUAUUGCACAAUGGGCGCAAGCCUGAUGCAGCCAUGCCGCUUGUAUGAAGAAGGCCUUCUGGUUGUAAAGUACUUUCAGCGGGGAGGCGUUACCCGCAGAAGAAGCACCGGCUAACUCCGUGCCAGCAGCCGCGGUAAAC